rnacentral:rRNA from 1 species
UGCAGUCGAGCGAGAACCGGUGAGUGGAGGCUUCGGCCAAAGCGAUCCGGGGACAGCGGCAAACGGCGUAGUUAUGAAUAGGUUACGUACCCUCAGGACGGGAAUAGCCGCGGGAAACUGCGGGUAAUGCCCGAUAAUGUCUGCGGACCAAAUGGUGAGAUUCCGCCUGAGGAGCGGCUUAUUUGGUAUUAGCUUGUUGGUGGGGUAAUGGCCUACCAAGGCUGCGAUGCUUAGGGGGUGUGAGAGCAUGGCCCCCACGACCGGGACUGAGACACUGCCCGGACACCUACGGGUGGCUGCAGUCGAGAAUCUUCCGCAAUGGGCGCAAGCCCGACGGAGCGACGCCGCGUGCGGGACGAAGGCCCUUGGGUUGUAAACCGCUGUCAGAGGGGAUGAAGUCACGGUGGGUCAUCCCACCGUGUUGACAGAGCCUCAGAGGAAGCACGGGCUAAGUACGUGCCAGCAGCCGCGGUAACACGUACUGUGCGAACGUUAUUCGGAAUCACUGGGCUUAAAGGGUGCGUAGGCGGCUCGACAAGUCAGGUGUGAAAUCCCACGGCUCAACCGUGGAACUGCGCUUGAAACUGUCGGGCUUGAGUAUCUCANGGGUGAGCGGAACUGCCAGUGGAGCGGUGAAAUGUGUUGAUAUUGGCAGGAACACCGGUAGCGAAAGCGGCUCACUGGGGGAUGUCUGACGCUGANGCACGAAAGCCNNGGNANCGAACAGGANUAGAUACCCUGGUAGUCCUGGCUGUAAACGAUGA